UUUUUUUGUAUUACUGCAGAACCUUUUGUUGGUUUAAAAAUCUUGGUUGGUUUAAAUCUUGCGAAAGUAGAAUUUUACUCCUUUGCUCGAUAACAAGUCUCUCCAAUACUUUAAUUUUAUAUGUGUAUAUAUACAUAUGCAUACGUCACAGAAUCAUAGAAUCAUAGAACCAUAGGAGUUGAGAGGGACCUCUGGGGAUCAUCUAGCCCAACUUCCCUGUUAAGGCAGGCUUCCUAUAGUAGAUUACAUAGAUGGAGACUCCAUAACCUCUCUGGGCAGCCUGUUCCAGUGCUCUGUCACCCUCACAGUAAAUACAUAUAUAUAAAACAUACUUUAUGUGCUUAUAUAUGUUUUGCUUAUGUAUCUAUUGCAGUAGGAUUGAAAAUGCAGCGAUCACUGUCCAAUAAUGGAAGAAGAGCCUGGUCUUGCCCACUGAACACUUGAUGAAUGUUUUCGGCUAACUUAAGAAAUGAAGUUAUUUUCUACAGUUAGCUUGUCUUUAUUCUUAUCAAAACUGUGGGUUUUUCCAGUGUCAGGACACUUGAUGGGCGGAUACUUCUUAGGAGAAUAGAGGACUUAUCAGUGUUUGCUUAGGAUCUAUUACAUUCUUAGCCAUAAAAGUAGCUGUGCUGUCUAUAGCACCCAUAAAUCUUAACCUAGUCAAGGCUACUGUCUCUUUCUUCAUAUGAAUUUGCUUUUAAAACCAUGGGCAUAAACCAGUUGCAAAUACCUGAUUUCUUUUUUGAGAAUUGGUAACAGAAUUCAGUUUGCAAAACUGUCAAAAUUACUUAUCAGCUCUGCCACAGAUUUGUUCUCUUUGCCCUUUUAAUGAAAUAAUAUUCCUUAGGCACAUAAUCACCAGAGGGCACUCUUACACAUAUUCUUACAUAUGAUUCUUUGGGUGAAGUAGGUGAAAGUAAGUCUUGGAAUAAAUGGUAUAUUAGUUUUGAUGUACACUUCUCAUAGGGAAACUGCUGCUGACAAGGUAGUUCCAACUCUGCUUUAAUUUCUUUGUAUGGAUAAAGUACAUUCUUCUUGUUGAGAAGUGGCCAUUGCUAUCAUUGCUGACAUUUCUUUGAGCUCUUAUUUGUUUGAAUUAGCUAAUUUAUGUCGAGCUCCAUAUAACUUCCAAGAAAUGAAUCUAAAAAGCUCUGAACUUGCGGAUUUCCACCAAAGCCACUGGAAGUAGCAGAAGAGCAAUAAUAUUUCUGUUCUCUUUAUUUAUUUUUAGAUGAAAAGAUUGAACAAGUAACGUCAAAUAAAAUCAGUAAAUCAGCUUUAGAUAGUUAUUAUGUCUGCUGUUUAUUACUUAAAAAGUAUAUACUCAGGCACUGUGGCAACAGUAUAAUUGCGGAUGAAGUCUUUAUAUGUAUACAGUUACAAAAUUUGUAUUUCUAUUUGGUAAAUAAAGAUAGAUAAGAAAAUUAUGAUGAAAAUACUUCAGGCUAUGUUUUGUUUGGAAAUAGGCUACUUUUGCUAGUUUUCUUAUGGCAAACCUUACUCCAAUGCCUUUUGGGCCUGAUCACGUACUUUGAGACUUCUUAUUUGUAUUUUUCAUAGCCAAAGAUUUUUUUUGGUUUCUCUAGGAUACGUUUGGUUUUCUGUGUGUGUAUUUUCACUUCUCUUUGUUUUAGUAUUUCUGACACCAUCAAAAUGAAACAAGACGUGCCCUAUAAAAAUGGACCCUCCUGAAUAAAUGAACAUUACCAGUAGUUAAGGCUUAGACGUGUUUCUAGUCUUUUAUUGACCAUGCUCCAGCAUCUAUUAUCUGUGAAUGUCAAUGGCUUUUUGUUCAUAGAGUGGAUUUCUCAUUUUUAAAGAAGUUCCUUAUCGCUGAUUUGGUUGUUAGCGGUUGCAAAGAGAGCUGCCAUCUAGAGCCCAAGCUGGCCACACUGACUUCUGUGCUCCCAGCGGCGAGGAGGCUGGCUCCAUUGUCCAUAGGGAAUGUCAGCAGUAGGAGCUGGAAAUCCACUGUUCUUGCUCUAUCUUAAGGAUGUUUUCUGUUUCACCUCUUUUAGAUUUUUCCACAGGAGGUUGUCAUGAACUAUCAUGAUAAAAAUGGUUAUUCUAGUACACCGUUCACAAGUAGAUAUUUUAAGUUGUUAUUAUUUCAAUGAUCUUUUUACAGAAUGAUUUGUAUUUACUGAUCUGUCUCACUAUCCUAUGUUUGUUAUGCCUUUGCAUCAAAAUACCAGAAUGUCACAUCUGGCCUCUUCAUGUUUUGUGCUCCUUGCCUUCUUCUCUCAGGACUGCCCAUCCUGAGAGCAAACAACUGUCAUAGCUCCUGCUCUGUCCUGGUGAGAAGGAAGCAAGGAUCCACUGCCUUUCUAGGCUUUAUCCCAGUGCAGUUUGUUUCACCAGGGCUUCUUGAAAGGCCUUGAUUCACAAGGUAGUGAAGUUUUUUGCAGUUGCAAAUCUAUUGCAACUGCCUCCAUAGUGCAUCCAAAUCAAUGAGUAUUGGAUGUGGAUCUUGUAAGCCAGUUAGAAAGAUGUAAGAGGAUUUGCAAAGGUACCCUUUACAUGUCAUUUUGGUGUCAGUCAGGAUGGCAGCCAUGACAGUGAUACUGGGCAGGUUUUUGUAACUACUUCAAAAGCUUUGGGUAAGGAGCAGGAUAAUUGGGAGCAUGACACUUGAGUUCUAUUCUCCACAAACUGCCCUAGAAAAGAUAAUAGAACAGAUGUGUUAAAACAGUCAGACACUACUGAUUCCAUGGGACUUCUGAGUAUGUCACUUUCUUUUCUAUUAAGUGUUUUGUAAUUUUUUGCUGAUUUUUUUUUUUCCUGCAAGCCCAUUUGAUUAUACUUAGUGCAGCCUUGAUGCAGUUCACUUGAAUUGCCGUAUCAGUGAGAUUUGCUAAAAUAAGUCACACAUGAAUUGUAGGCCAUUAUCUAUCAUUAACUCAUCUAGAAUUUCAUGGUGAACUAAGUGCUAUGUAUAAUGUGUUUCUCAAUUGCUACUGGCUAUGUUGUCUUAGUGUAGCAGAAUGUGACUGAUACACAGUUGUAUGCAGUUCAGAUAGAUGGAAACCAAUUUUAAAAAAAAAGCCUUAGUUCAUAAUUGAAAACAUUUUACAUUAUUUCAGUUAUUUCAAUUGAUGUGUAAACAUUAAAAUUAAAAUUUAUCAUAUAUAUGUUUUAGACUUAUUAGUUGAAUACAUUUCUCAUUAAAUUCGUAUCUGUGCAGAAGAAGAACAAAGAAAAGCAAACUUGAGCUCUUUUAUUCAGGAUAUAUUUAUUAAACUUAAAAAAAAAAAAACAUUUUUGAAGAUAAGCAGUUGUUUGUAUUUUAAAAGAACAUAUUUCAUAAAACAGAUUUCAUUUACACCUGAAACUGAGCUCUAUGAUUUGCCCACAAGCAUGUAUGAUUGCUGUAAUCAUUUACUGUUAAUUGACAGCUGAUGAGCUCAAGACAACAAUGGAGUAGCAAAAGCAAACUUUUGCCAUCGUACUUCUCUAUGGAGUACUUAGGAUUAUGGUCAGGUUUUCAAAAGGGUUUAUGCAUCGAAAGAUUCUAACGGGCAUGUAGUGAAAUACACCAUCCCUAUCGUAAGCUGUGUCUGUAAACUGAACUUCCAGACUGACAGCAAAAAGUAACAGGACAAAACUACCAUAAAAAUAAUGGUUCACAGUUCUCUUUCACGUUUAACGCUAUAUUACACUGAGCACUGCAGCUGUGUGUGUGUGUGUGUGUGUGUGUGUGUGUGUGUGUGAAGUCACUGUGCAAGAUUCUUGCUCUUUUUCACCCUCUUCUGAGCGUUAGCAAUCUCAUCCUUCUCUCAUUCAGUAUUUCAGCUGAAAGUUACACAUUUUAACUUGCUGGUUCCUGGAAGGAUGAGGUCAGCCAUUACCAAGAGCCAUGGGUUUUCCUGCAGUGCAUAUAUAAAUACAUCUCACGGUGCCUGAAUAUUACUGAGAAAUCUCUGUGUAUCUUUUUUAUGGGGCUACUCAAUCUUCUGCUGGUCUGUUGUUUGCGUAUGCUUCUCACGUCGGUUUGUUCAAUGCUGUUUUGCUGAGAAGAUGACUUUCCAGUGGGACUGAAAUCUCUGUCCUUGUCUGCUUCUUUACUGUUGAGAACUGCCUGGGACAGAAUGUUCUCUGGGGGAAGAACACUGCUAGACUGGUAUAUUGCAGUCUUUUUAUAUCUAUUCAUCUAAUUUCACCUAAUUUUAUGUAAUUUCCUGUAGACUUGCUAAGGCUUUGCACAAUGUUUUCUAUACUAUGUCUAGUUAAUGGAACAUUUCAAGUAAAAUCAGUGGUUGCCUAUAAACAUUAAUAAAUAUUUGUAUGACAUAAAACAAUUGCAGACAUAAGGGCAUUAAAAAUUGAAAAAAAAAUUAUUUUCUUGGUCUGAAUAAAAUUUAACUAUUCUCCAUCAGUCAUGCCAUCGAGCCAUUAUCUGAAGAUCAUUCUUACACUCAUGCGAGCUUCUAUUUCUAGAUGUACUUUUAGACUCAAUUGACUUUUCUAAUUGCACUUUCUAACAUUUUUCCUCACCGUCUUUUUUAAAAUAAAUACCCUGGUUCAUUUUCUUUAUGUAAAACUGAAAAAACCUGUGUCCUUUGUCCCUCAGUACCUUCUAGAAGAUAAUGCAUAUUGCUAAUGUUGCAGAUGUAGUGCUGCUUUGUAAUAAUUUGUACGCUUUGUGUGUGGAUUUGGUUACUGAUUGGUAUACUUUAUGACUACUUUCAGUUAAAUAUUGGAAGUUUAUUGUGUGAAAAUGUUUGUUUAGCUUAGUACAGGCAUGUUGGAAAAUCAAGAAGAGUGGCUUGAGAAAAGUCGAACACAGCUUUUGCUACAAGCAGUACCAUUCACUUUUGCAUGCUUCUGACCUGCAGUGGUUUCACUGAUGAACUCGUCAAAGUGUUACCUACAGGUGAGGAUGGAAACACAGAUCAGGAAGUCAGCUUACCCUCAUCUGUAUAUGGAGAACUGAAUCUUUCGUACUCUGUUGUUUUGUGCUUGAAUAAAAAUGAUGACUGUUUGGAGACACAACUGUAUGAAUGAUCCUGAAAGCCACAUAAAUAUCUGUGGCAUUGGAGAAAUUGGUGGUUCGUUAGUGGAAGGUGUGCAACGCAUUAAGACUUUUACUGGUAUGGUAUAUUAUCAAUUAUGUGCAAUCAAUACAUUGUUCUACCAAGGCUGUGCAUACUACUUUUGAGGCAACUGCUCCUUCAUUAUACAGUACUUCUCCAACUGUCCAGGUUCUCUUAUGCCCUGGCUAAGGUAACCAGAAGACCAGAGAACCACUAGCUUCUUUAUUUUGCAAGUCCAAAAAGUAUUGCCCCUGAAGAUCUAGUCCUGAAAGGUUAUGAUUUUUUAUACUGAUUUUAUCAGAUGUUUUUCAGUUCUGGGCUUUAAAUGUACAACAUUAAAAAUAUAUUUUUCCCUUUUCUACCUUAUUAAAAGAAUUCUAUUGUGAUCUCUCUCUCUCCAUAAUCCUUGUUCUUCCCUACCCAGCAGCAACUUACAUGUUUUGAAUUCAGUUCCACUUGCUUCAUCAAGAUGAUUUUUUGCACAUUUUUCUUGUUUAAUUAUAUAACAUUUCUUUUGCUCAAUUUGUGCAAACAUCCUUUGGACUUGUUACAGUUUGAUUUUCUGUCAAGGAUGGUUGAAAAGAAGAGAAAAUGAUAUUCAGAGAAAAUAGUGCUAAAAUGUAACUUAUUUACAAUUCCAAUAACAACUUCGUGGUUUGAACAUGUUAGUUAAGAGCGUUUCAUUCAAGUGUACAUUACCACACAACUUGCUAAACAUGUCUGAGAAUAAAGCUACUCCAGACUGGGCAAAUUAGAUGGAUAACAUCAUUUGUGUAUCAGCUGCAGUCAGUAUAGUUCAGUUAAUUGUUUAUCACACUAAGGUUAACGUUCUGUCGUUUAUAUUUGCUUAAUUCAUAAUUGGAAUAUCACACUUGAUAUUGCUCAGUAACUACUUAAAAAAAAAAAGUAACAAUGCAAAUGUUGAGCAACAUAAAACUAGAAGAGAUCUUCUGAGCCAUCAAUUUGGCUGAUAUCAUCAAUAAUAACAUUCAUAAAUCUGUCUCUUAAAACCAGUUGAGUCCCUUGCCUCUGCUAUGUAACUGAAAGUUUGUCACAGCGCACUAGUCCUUCCACAUUUAGAAUCUUUCCAUUUGUUAAACUAAAAUUUAUUCCUUUAUUCUUAUGACAGUACUGUUUCAUUAUCUACUUUUUUUCUCCUAUACUCAUCAUACAUCAUUUAUUUGUAGAAAACACUCCCUAUGUAAACGUUGUUUACUUCCCAGAGAUGGGUAAACCAACUCCUCUCAGUCCUCUUCUGCAUUAUCUACAUUCUCUUCCCUUGAACAUGGCUGGCAAGCCAUUAGUGCUCCUUAGUUUCAGCUGUAAUGACAGCUUUUAAACCCUUUCCCCCAUGUAGAUAGAAGCAGAAAUACUGUGUAGACUGGUGUGAAUGACAGCAGGAGGUGUAGAUGAGUUCUGCUCCCUCUAUGGAAUGUGUUCAGAAGUACUGGUUGACAGUUGACUUCUUCUGGCUAAGUGAACAGAUGCUCCAGUGUUUCAGUUACAACUUUUUGAGACAGCUAAGCCAAUCUUUUCGUGGAAGAUAUUUCUCUUAAAAUUAUAGUAUACUGUAGUAAUUUAGCCUGAAAAGGUAAUGUGAUUUGUAAUAACAGGACAAAUCUUCUACUGGUGGAAGAAUGGGGGGUCUAGCUGUGUAGCAACUCUUGGAAAAGAUCCAAAGGGACCAUAGCAGACAGGAUGUCAAGCAUGAGCUAGCCAUGUGUUCCUGGAGCAGAGAGGGCCAACAGCAUCCUGGGCUGUUACAAGGAUAUGAUUUCCAGCAGGAUCAAAGACAGUGAUAUUUUUCUCCCUUUAUUCAUCACGUUAGACAGCAUUACUUAGUUCACUUUAGUAUCACUUCUUUCUUGGUUAUAUUUUAUAUUCAGAUCCCCUUCAGGAAAUAACAUCAAGCUAGGAUUUUAUUGUUUUUAAAUUUCAUUUUUAUUAAUCCUUGUCUUCAAAAAAAUACAACAAUCUGCUACAGUGGUAUUUCAGUCAAAUUAAUUAUCUUCAAAUCGUAAGUUAUGAAAAAAGCUGGUCCUGUUUCACCUGUAUGUUUUUUGUAGGCAGACAAAUGAAAAGUAUUUCACGUAUAUGAAGAAAAACUUUAGUUACCAAAGUCUGUGUCUUCAUGUCUUUUUUUGAUUCAGUGAUUCUGAAAACUUCUGGGUUCUGGAAUAAGUAUUUCAGCCACAUUUCCUAGGAAUUGUUGGAUUUCUGAUUUUUUUUUUUUUUAACUGUGUUUCUAAGGCAACAAUGCUGCAGUUUUAUUUAUUUAUUUGCUUUUCCCAAGUGAGGUAUGCAGGUCAUAUUAGAUAAGCCACAUCAAAAUACUUUCUUAGAUUUUCAAUUAGGAAAAACUUACCGUGUUUCCUAUCCCUAACAUUUAUUAUAUGUCCAAAAAAUUAUAAAGAAGGUGCACCAUUUCAGUUGUACUUACAUAGAGACCCAGGCAAGGCCAAAUUUUAACAGGAGACCACAUUUCAUAUUAGAACAAGCAGCAUAUCCUCUUCAAACUGCAAAUAUUUCUGUCUCCUCUGGUACAGCAGUUCUGUUGCUGCUAGGUAUAACAGUCAGUCUACUAUAACAAUGCCUACAAGUCUAAAGCUUACAUUACCUAAAAAAAGAGUAUCUUGUCACCCUAUUUCUCCCACUCACCUGCAGAAUUUGAAGUUUUUCAAAUAAUUAAUUUGUUUUAUAUGUAAUAAAACCUUACCAUAAAUGGUUGGAUAUGCCCAUUAAUGACCUUUUUGUCAUCUGUCUAGUUUAAGUCAUCUUAGUUGGCUUACACACCAACUCUUCUGACUCAGCCUUCCUGAUACUUAAACAAAUUUGUUCUGUGGUUCAUUCUGAUAAGGAGAUACUUUUCUAGGGGGCUUUUGCUUACUUUACAAGUUGAAAGACUGACUUCUCGCAGGAAGUUACUUUUACCAUGCUCCCAAAUCAGAUAGGGGUAUUCAAAUACUAAUGCGUUUUAAAUGCUGAUGUAUUUACAGAACUUAAUGAUCAAGUGAGCUGUUACCUUGGAUAUUUUCUCACAUGUGUAAUUAAAGCAAUAUUAUUACCUGGAUAAUGAAUCAUUUUUAGAUAGGGAAGGUUGCCAGGGCAUUUAAUCAGUAAAAACUACAGUUUAUAGCAGCUUUUUUCUGUUGAAUCAGAGGAAAAGUUGUAUAUAUUUACAACAUUGUUUUGAAAAAUCACCAAAAUAUUGGAGUGCAGCAAUUUUUGUGUGAUUGUCCUGAGAUACAGUUAAUAGAUCUGCUGUGAUUUCUCCUUUUAUUCAACAGUUUUAAUAAGGCAGCUUAACCUGUCAUGGAAAGCUGUUCCUGUACUGCUCUUGACUAUAGUGUACCUGCAGGAUGGGGAACUGACAUGUGUCCACUGCAUGUUUUGUAUUUCUGAUUCCCAGAAGCGAAGGAAGAACUGACUAGGCUCUUAGCUUCUCCUCUGAAGGAAACUAUAGAAGAAAGAGUAGCCGUCCCCGGAGGUAUUUCUAGUGGAGUCAAUAUCUCUAACAGUAUUUAAGAGAUACGUGUAUGUCAUGUUAAGGUGUGUAGACUAGUGGUAGCCUUGGUAAUGUUAGGUUAAUGGUAAGACUUAAUGAUCUUGAGGGUCAUUUGCAACCUAAAUCAUUAUAUGGUUCUAUACAUCCAUAUCCUACAGUUGCAGGGAAUUUGAAUACAUAUCCACAAUUGGAACUUCCAUGCAGUAGAGAUGUUCUGCACUUAGGGAAACUCAUCAUUUUUUUGUCUCUUUCUGUUAUGAGGAAUGUUCUUCACCUAGAUUAUUUUUGGAUUUCAAUACAUGUAGCCCCAUUCUUACCAUGCAGAGUUACGUGGGUAUAGUGCUCAUCAUUUUAAGACUGCGCACAUGGCCAUGUGUGUUAGGUUGGCUGAAUCUGUUGCUAAAGCUCAGGUAUUCUGAAACAUUUUAUAAGGUGAAGCAAACAUCCACUAUAUGUAGUAGGAUCACAACAGUACUUGAAUUUGUUUUAAAUUUGAUAAAGGAUAUUAUUUCCCUUGGAUUUGUGUAACUCGUAGCAGGUAGGACAAAUGAUAUACUUGCAGUUUUGAGAAAGUAUUCAGGUGAAUGAAGUUGAAAGUAGGUCUCUAUCCAGGGUCUCCACCUUUUCUGACUUUUAGGAUUCACCAGUGGGCAUUUUGAAGGAUGACACAAUUCAACUCAAAGUCAAAGAUAUGUUUGAUGAUUCUUUUUAGACGUGCUUUUUUCUUUCAUCAGACACAAAGACAAUUAGAAUUCUAGUGUGCAUACAGAUGACUAUGUUGUAGGCACAUGGACUCAAGUGUCAUAAGCACUAUAAGCUCUCCUCUGCUCCAAUUCGCUGUUCAUAAAAAGAGGAAUAUGCUUUUACCCUCUCAUAGAUACAGAAAUAAAUUUACUCACUACAAGAUUCUUGGAUAAAGUGAUGAGGCAUACAUACACGAGUAACUCAAAAUAACUAUAUGACCGCAUGAAUAUUGCGUAUGUCCAGAAAACCUGCCCUGGCACAGAGGUUAUCUAUAAUAUUUAAUGUAGAAUUGAUCAUGCAACUUACAUUAUUAUAGCUACACAUAACUAUUUGGAUUGAAUCUUAAUGAUUGCAUUGUGAUUUUGGUCAUAAGUGCACCUAUGACUGUUUCUCAAAACUUCCUCUUACAUAGACUUAAGAUUAAGCCCAAGUACAACUUUGCAGUAUUGCUUCCCUCAUAGUUUCCAUGCCAGCAAUUUUUUCCUGCUCAGCUUGAUCAGUGUUCUGGCUUUUUUCUUCUAACAGAUAAGUCCAUUUUAGCUCUCAUAAGAUUAAUCAUCAGUUUUUUAAAAGGGACUUUUGAUAAUUUUGAACUUAUUAAAAUUACUGUCAAAAAUCUGUUCAGAAUGGAUUUAUUUGUAUCUUUCAGAAGUCACUGGAGUUAAUGUUUUAUCCCUACCUGGGAACACACCUAGCAUUAAUUUCCUUCUGCAGACAAUUCUCUUUUAUGUGAGUUGGGAUAUGAAUUUAUUGCAUGCACAGCAAAGAUGCUUCUGCCCAUAAACAAAUCAACUCUCCAGGACCUUCAUAAUUCUUAGAAAAGCUCUGUUUGUAUUUUCAAGGAGAUACUGUCAUCAUUUUGUAUUUGCUGGAAUAAUGGCUUUGUUCUCUUAAGGAAAAUAAUGUAAUAAUUUGAAUAUGAAAUUUCUUGGCUUCUGACCAAGUGAAAUGGUUUCAUUGGCCCAAUUUAGGAAUAUUAGAAGCUUUGGAUUAUUGGUUCUGAUAUAGUUUAGAAGCUAGAUUUUUAGUAGUACUCAAUCCCUUCAUAUAUUACUGUUCUCAGAGGAAAAAGUAUCCCUUUGAAAGCCAGGAUAUUUUACAUGCAUGCUUCCCCAGGAUAUGAGAUGUUCUGAAAAUCUUCAUGCUUAUUACUGCAUACAGUUGAGUUCUUUUAAUACUUGAAAAGACUGGUCCAAAAUAUAAUUGCAAUAAAAUCUAUGCCCUAAUACUUUCCUCUCGUACAUUCCGGUAGUAUUUUGAAUUUUCUGUCUCUUUGCUGUACUUUCAGUUUAAACUCUUAGUUUUUAGCACACUCUGAACUUCACAUUAACUGAUUUUCGUGACAAUAAAAAUGAGAGAAGUUGUCAAGCCAAGCAUAACCAUGCCAGUAGCUUGGAAGAGUUAAGCUAAUUGUGUUGACACGGAGUUCUUUCUGCAGGAAUGUGAUGAGUCAGUUCGGACACUAGUUAAAAAUUUUAAUUUUAGAUAGAGUAACUGAAAAUAAUGGGACUUGUCUGACUAUUUAGUUAUUUAAGCAGUUUUUUUUUUACGUGGGACUAGGAGUUACACAGUCACUAACUUGGGCAGAAGUGUACUGAGUUCGUCCUGAAAAAUUAUGUAGAAUAUAUUACUCAUUCAGCAAGGGAUGGGAUUUAGAAGUUAGAAGACUUGCUAUAAUUAAUUCAUCACACAAAAGGAUUCUAAGCAAGAUUAAAAAAUAAACAAAAAUAACAGAACAAACUGUGUCCAAAUGGUGGUUAACCUUUUUUUAACUCUUCUAUUGUUUAUGACCAAGACAAGGGUGUUUAUCUGUGGAGUAAAAGGAAAACAUAUAUCAUUAUGUAGUAUUUCUCAAGAUAACAUGGAUAAAUUAUAAGCUAGCUAGCUGGCUAUAUAAAACAUUGUUUAUGAGUAAGUUUCAGUAAAAACCUGCCAAGGAAGCUUGUUAAGAAAUUACUAAUCACAUGAGGAUGAUUGAACAAGAACUUUUUAUCUUGCUUAUCACGAUGUUUUGGUUUUAUCUUAUGCCUGAACUCUUUCCUAUUUUCUUCUCAGUUCAUUCUGCUUUCCAAGACAAAUCUCUGAUUAAUUAUCCUGUGUAUCAGAAAAUAAUAAAAGUUAUCUGAUCUAAGCAACUAAUUAACAAGUCACUCUAGUCAUUUAAAUGUAACUCAGCAAGUCUUGCCUCAAAACUGUACACUACAGAAAUCCUUUAAGCCCUCUAAACUGGCAAAACUUCAAGGCUACUGUGAGUUUUCAGGAAUAAAAUGAACUGAAGAAUAUUCAGUUAAAACAGAAAUAUUAAAGUCUACCUAAUAGUAAUCCAAAUACCUAACAGUAAACUUUAUCUGAUGCUAUGUAAAAAGCAAAAGUAUCCUAUAUUUUUUUUGUAUGCUUCCCCCUAUAGAAAUGCACAAUAUCCAGAUAAGGCUAGCAAAUUUAUUGUUAAUCUGGCCACAAAGCAAGCACAGGAAUGGACUGAAGUGGAAAAGUACAGAUUUACUACUAGCUUAUGGAGAAAAUCUGCUCACAGACAGUAUAACACCAAGUAUUUAGGACUGAGACGUAUUUGAGCAAGAUGGAGAGCUUCCCCCUGCUAAAUACAUUUUUGAAGGCAUACUCGAUAAUAAUUCAGGAGCCAAUCCAACUGUUAGAAAAACAUUUAAUAAAAAUUCACAUGUGUAUGCAUAUGUGCAUGUAUACAUGUACAUUUUAUAUAAGCCAAGAUUUUAAAUUUGCUUUUGUCUGUCUGUAUUUGUCUCAAGGUCUACUGUGGCCAGAUGCCUCCUGGAGCUGCUAGAAAGGGGAAUGUGUGAAGACUGUGUCCUCAGUCUUUUAAAUCCUAAUUGCUAGUCUUCUAACCAGGAGUAUACUUCUCCCUUCUCCUGUAAAUCUUCCCAUAAAAAUGUCAUACUUCAAGAGGCACAGUCUUGACUUUGGGUUCUCCACCACCCAGACACACUGCUUUUCAUCAGUGCAAUUGCAUAGCUGCUAGUUGACAUUUCACGGUGGCCUGUAUGCAGUGGUGCAUGUGCCACCUAUAGACUAUGAGGUGGCUUUCUCUGGACAUUUCUGCUCUUAAGCAUUUGUUUUAUUUGGUGGAAGGCUAUCCAAAAUCCCUCCGCAAAGGUGAACACUGAGUGAUGUCAGAAGACAGUUUAUAAGUAUUAGCUGUUCACAUACAGUUAUUGUAGGAGCAAUCUAGCUCUCCUUAGUUGAAGAAAUUCAUUGUAAUAUGAAUAAGAAAGAGUGAAUAAUGAAAAUAAUGAGUGAAUAAUGAAGUGAAAUAAUGACAGUAGCAAAAAUGUCCCUGAUAACAGUAGUUAAUCAAAGGCUGGAGAUCACCACUGCAGGAGCAUCACACACAAGUACAAUGCUAGUUUUGACAGAAAGUAGCACAGCACAUUGGGAAAAUGCAGAAGAUAUUGUCUAAAUCACUGUUAUCUGUUCAGAAUAUGAGUGAAUCCAAUGCAAGAGUCAUCCUCAAAAAAUGCCUUGAUAUUAAAAAGAGAGCGACUAUCGAUUUGUGAUUUGAAAUAUUUUGUACUUUGCAAGUUGCUACCUAGGAAUCACACUGAUAUUCUGCAAGCUGAUGUAUGUGCAUGUGAGAAAUAAAAUUAGAUAAAACAGAUAACUUUGUUUACCUUGACCUUACAAAAUGGGUGUAAACAUCUUUCCUUUGCAUACGGCACCAUUAUAUUAGUGUUGCUAUGCUAAUAGCCUAUCUCCUCAAUGACAAUGUAGAAUAUAAAAUGAAUAAAUCAUGUAUCCUUUUAGAAUAAACUGCAGAGAUUGAAAUUUGGAAUAUGGAACAAGGAUCUGAAAAUGGGAUAUAUCCUCAGCUUGUGUAAAUUAACUUCAGAUGCUGUGGCGACUAUUUAUCAGGCUUCAAAUAUUUUACAGCUUUCAUAUUCCUUUGAUAUUUCCCCUUAAGUGCAGACAGGGCAGAGACCUCAGUGGCUGCAAGGUUAAAACUGUAAAUUGCACUUCAAAGAAUUUGGAGCGUUAAAUCUGCUACUCACCUUUGAAAUUCUGGUGUAGACUAGUCAUUGACAUCUUCAUAACUCCUGGGCAGUAUUUCCAGCAAAGCACUCUAAAUAAGCGUUUGACCAGUCAUAAGCCAUUCAUGUUCUUUGUUUUUUCUGUGUAUGCGGAUUCGUAGCUGUUGAAAUAGUGAUUGUGUUCUACUAGAUGGAUACUUUUUGAAGCCAAAAGCAUAAAUACAGUUAACACCUCACAGUAAUGAUCUGUUCCUGUUACUCUAAAAUGAAAAGAAAAAAAAGAAAAAGAAAACAACAAAACAAAACAAAACAAAAAACCUCAUCUCUUGUCAUCGCUUAUUAAAGGAAUCUGUAUUUUUGCUGUAUGAUGCUGUGGAGUUUAGUGUAAUGAAUAAUCAAAUGAAAAAAAGAGGCAGAUAUAGUAUGUGCAAGUAUCUUAAUUUUAUAGAAUGCCUCUGCCUAAGUGUCUAAAAAUGUGUGCAGUGCAAACAGGUUUAACCUAGAUUCCCAGAAAGAUUUGUACUUGCAUUUCAGUGGGCAUGAUUUGUUGCAGAUAGUCUUAUUACCCUGCCUAAUACUUGUGCCGCAGAAAUCUGCUGUUGAUUCUGUUUCUUACUUUACUUGUGUAGUGUUUUAUUUACUCACUAAACUUUCAGGGCAAAGUCAAAAUGAAGAUGCAAAAUGGAGAAACAUAAAAACAUCUAAGUGCUACAAAUUUAUUUGGUAAAUCAGAAUGCUGGUGCUGGGUAUAUAUUAAAUUGUUCCUUUGAUCAGCUUACUGGAAGUAGUAGUUGUGCUCUGCAUUUGCUCUCACGAUCCACAAUAUUUUCUGAAAAUUAUUUUAAUCAACUCAAAGACAACUUUGUCCUUGUUUGGAAUUGUGUUGUUCUUUAUGCAGGGUAGCGACAAUGUUACAGACUUGCUGUGAUCUUUUAGAUCUGCAGAGGACUGUAGGCAUGUUUCCAUUAUGAUAUUUACGUCUUAAGCACAAGAGGUAAUUUAUUUUCCAAAAUGUCUAAGAAUUGGGUAACACAGUUAGAUUUAUUACUCUUUUUUGGAUAUGAUUCACCUCUGACAUUUUUAUUUCUUAAAAAAAGCCAGUGAUCUCCAUCAUGAAAAAUAACACUGCAACAUUAUGAAUCUUUUAAUAUCAAACAUGCUCAUAAUUUUAUAUGUGAGCCACUGCUCAUGAUUCAUUUAUGAAAUGUUUUGGGGUGGGCAGUGUCAUAGCUGAUGCAGCCUUCCUGUGACAGUGCCCAUUGAGAGUGUGUUACGGGGACGGGGCACACAGUCUCAGCAGAAUAAGGAGUUGUGUCUUUAUAAGCCAAAGGUGAAAUUCCUCACUGACUUGAGGAAAUCUGCACAAACAGUUUCCUGUAUCAAGCUUUUGGCGGAUAAUCUCUCUAGUUUGGAGAUCUUUGGCCAUGUUGAUGGUUGCAAGGUGAUACUACGGCAUAAGUUCAUGUGAUUUCAUUAGGCAUGGUUAAUGUAGGCUGACUGUAUACUUCUAUGUGUCAGCAAAUGGCAGAAGAGACAUAUCAAAGUGUGUUUUGUUUAAGCAUAUUUAAUAAAUACUCCAAAUUAUUAACAUAAAUAGGAUACUUUUGGAGUAUGUCAAUUACAACUCUCCAUACUCAAAAAACAAAAAGAGAUACUGUGAUUCCUUAUGUGUAUUCCUCAUUCAGAACAUGUGAGAAACAAACAAGAAAACAACCCUUUAAAUAAAGACCUUGUUGUAAGUACCUAUAUUUCUUACUAAACUAGAGUAAUAAGGGAACAUAUCGCUACUUAUAAAAAAAAUUCAGUAUUGAUAGUAAUCUGAGAGCUGUUUUCAUUUUCAGGAAGACAUUUUAUGGAAAUAACCUUGAUUUUAUUAGCUUGUGUACUAUUUUAUAUCACAAUCAGAGAGAAUGAUUACAUUUAUUAUGGAGAACUGAACAAUUAACAGGGUUAAUAGUCCUAAAGAUAAGAUUGGAAUGCUUUCUGUAUGUGACUAUGAGAUCAGAUUUAAAGCAAAAAAAAAACAACAAAUCCACAACAAAACCACAUGAACAAGUACAUUGUAGUGCUGCUUUCUGUUUCUUCAGAGUUAGUGCAAAAUUAAUUUUGAAAAAUCAUUUCCUACUCAAGUUUACUGUAUCACUAGUCUGAAAACUAUUUUGUAGCCUGAUUAAUUAUGUAGUUUUAAGCCUCUGCUUAUCUAGGGAUAAUAUUUCUUGGCCUUAAUUCUGGGGCUGUAUUGUGAUUCACCUAAGACAGAAAGAAAGCAUAUAAAUAUUUUACAGUAGUAAUUUAGAAUACAUUAAUUGUUCAUGAUUUACUUUAUGAAGCCAAAAAUCCCCCCAAAUACAGAUUUUUAUGAAUGUGAGAUAUAACUGUAAGAAAUUUCCAUAUGAAGGCAUGAAAAAUAGUAUAAAGAACAGUUCCCUAUAGUGUGUGAUCUUCCAUAUUAUAAAAUCAAUUUGAGUGAGUUUUUAUAUGACAGAACUAGAAAUGGUCAAUUCAUUCCCUCUCUUUAGUGGUCACUGAGAGGCCUGUUUUCGCAGCACUGAAGAAGUGCUUUAAAUAAUAGAGGAUAUAAUGGUAUUGUCAUACAUUUCUUCCGUUUUAAAUACACUCCCUUAUUUAAAAGUUACUUGCAUGCAGACUGUUUUGGAACUAGAGUUUUGUAAUACAACUCAGCUAGAUUAAGAUAAGUUUGAGUUUGUGCAACGUGUAGUUUUGAUAUAAAAAGUCAUACAUUUUUUCUAGGAUAUCUUAUCAAAACCUAUACACUAGAGAACAUAGAUAAUUCUACUUAAUGUGAAACCCUUGUAUAUAACUUUAACUAGCAUCUUUAAUGCAAUGAAUCAUUUUACUACUAUAACUAGUAACUAGUUAUGUAGCAAGUCAAUUACAACAAAUUCUGCUACUAUUAAUCUAUCUCAUGAUGAAACCACCGUGAUUUCUUAAACAAAUAAAGGCUUUCAACAACAAAUAGUUUUUCAACAAUCUUAAUUUACAAAGAUAUUUUGCAUGUUUCUUUUAAAAAAUGGAAAAAAUAAUAAAAAGGGUAAAAGAUAAUGAAUCUUUUUACACGUCCGUUACUGUGAAAUGUUACUUACUAAGUAGAAUUUUUUUUAUGUUUGUAGACAUGAAAUAGUCUAACACUUCAGUUGCAAUCCUAAAAUUCCCAAAUACUAUUUUCUGUACUGUAUAGGAAAUAUAACAGCAGGUUAAAAAGGGCACCCUACAAAAUCUGCAGGGGAUUCCUGCAAGGAACAUGAUCAGAGAUACUCUUAAAUUUGGACAUAGCUAUGUGAUGGCAGACAUUUAUCAUUCAAAUAAACAUUGAAACGCUGUGUAUGUAGUUAUUUCCUCUUCUUGGUUAAGCAUAACCUAGAAAGUUUUCCUGUGCAUGUAAUCUUUAGUGUAACUAUCAUUUAGCAGUGUAAAGAGUAGUUCUCUGUACAGGCUCACUUGCAAAGCAAGAACAUUUGAGAUUCUGCCAUGCAGCAUUUAAAAACAUCUGAUUAGCAAGCAAAAUUCAGCAACCUUAUGCAGAGAUUCAGGUGACUUCCUGGGUGGGGUUUGUUUGGGUUUGUAUGUGUGUUGUGUAUGCUAACUGAUGAGCAAUGCACCUACCCAAAAUCUCCGCCUUCUGUUUAGAGAAGGAAAAUAAUUUCUAUGUACCUCAGUGGUUCUGAAAACAGCACACUGCCAUCGCAUUCUGCAUGAAGAAGUUUUAGAGCAGAAGCCAUCUUCUGAGAGCAUGUGAGAUCCAUUGCUGCCAUCACAGCAACACAGUAUGUGAUGGGGACUGUAAAGAGGAGGGGAAACUCUUGCUUUAGUGUUUAUGUUGCUUCAGAUCUUUGUUAAGCAUGCCUGCACAGCCAGCUAUUGUCACUACUGAAGAACAUGAAUAGUUGUAACAAUAGACAUAAUAAGGCUAGAUAGAUGGGAACUGAGGAUAAUCCAUAAUUGCAUUGCAUUUCCUUACUGUUUGGAACAGAGAGAACAAAAUAUGAAUCUACAGUCUCUUUACACAAAACAAACGAGAGUGUUUUUUUAGAACCUUUACCCCACAACAAAAUGUGUAGGAGGUCACAGGAGAUAGGAAGCUUCCUGGACGUACCUGAGUUCAUGAAAAAACUAGAGCCAGUGUAACUUCUGAUAAGGUAAUUCCAUGAAGCAUUCCAAGAUUAUCAGAAGGGUUGCACUAUAUCAUAAAAGAAAAAAAAUAGCAGGUAGAAUAUAGCAUGCAGAAGCAGUUUUCCAGCUCCUCCCACUGUAGCACGCAAGAGACACGGUUAUAGUUAACUUUGGAUAAUCAACCACUGUGAAACAGAAUGGAAAGGUUGUACAUUUGAGCAGCUUUUUCACUGUUUUUGCUCUGAAUGAUGAGGGUCUCGGAACCAAUACUAGACAUGGAAAUGGCAAACUACAGUGAAGUUUUAGAUCCAACGUACACCGCGCUGGAGUUUGAAACUAUGCAGAUUCUGUACAAUGGCAAUGGUGAGUUCUGCUCCAUGAUGCAAAAUCAUGCCAGUUAGUGGGAAAUGUGAAGUUUAUUAAUGUUUUAAGGUGUUAGCAAAAUGUUUUAUUAAUGGAAGAUUUAGUGAUUGUUUUCAAACUACAAAUCAUCUCUUUCACACUUCACCAUUAACUCUAAGUUAAUGACAUUAUAAUUCUUUAACAUUAAGAAAAAUAAAAAGAGUGGUUAUAUGUAAUAAAAUAACUGAGCUGUACUGUCAUCAGUCAGUUAAUCAAAGGAAGAAAAUGGUGUAUUCAGCAGUUGUUUUAUUUACUGUAAGACAAAUGAAUAACUAGUAUUGACAGUUGGGACAUGAAAGUAAAUGUUAUAUAUAGCAUUCAGAAGGACACGACAAGAUUAUCCAGGGGUUUGUGGAAAAAAAUAGCUACUGCUUCUUGAUGCCUAGUUUCUAUUCGUUGGACAACAUUUUAUUCAUUUCAGUGUUAAACUAAUUAUUCUAAACAUGUGUAUAUAUGAAUCAGGGUGAUUUUUUAAAAAUCAUGUUGGCUCUCUACAGGCUAAUGUUUAGCUGAGGAAAACUAUUGGCAUAAACUAUUGGCUAAUGGAGCGUUUUAA